ensembl:lncRNA
CAUAUUUACACUGUAUUCCAUUCCAGCGCGAUGACUCAGAAUUCAGAAGGUUGGUGCUUCAGCCACCCACAGCAGGUUUUCCAGGUGCUUUUCUUCUCAGGGCCCAAGAGGAUCGUCUUGGGUGGAUGCUGCCACCUGGUGGCCAGUAUGGGAAGCUUUAAAAAGGUGAGACUGCUUUCUUCCUCUCUCUCAGAGGGAGGCAGGGGGAACUUAAACCAGGCAUUCUUUUAGGUCCUUACUAAAAGCUCAACAAAUCCCACCAAAGUGCUUUAAAUAUAGUAAACACCGAGUAAUCACAGGUACAGAGAAUAGAUUGGUGGUUUCCAGAGGCAGGUGUGUGGGGUGAACAAAUGGGGUGAGGAAUGUCAAAAGAUACACAAUUUCAGUUACAAAACGAAUGUCCUGAGGAUGCAAAGUACAGCAUGGUGACUCCAUUUAAUGAUACUGUAUUUCAUAUUUGAAAGUUGCUAAGAGAGAAGAUCUUAAAAGUUCUCUUGCAAGACUGAUGUUUUUAUGGUGAUGGGUGUUAACUAGACUUAUUAUGGUGAUCAUUUUGCCAUAUAUACAAAUAACCAAUCAUUAUACUUGAAGCUAAUAUAAUAUGUCAAUUAGACCUCAAUUAAAAACACUCAAUUAAAGAAAGAGUUCUAGGGGUUCCUGAAGUGGUGCAGUGGAAACAAAUCCUACUAGGAACCAUGAGGUCGCGGGUUUGAUCCCUCAUCUCGCUCAGUGGGUUGAGGAUCCAGCAUUGCCCUGAGCUGUGGUGUAG